rnacentral:rRNA from 1 species
GACAUCCCGCGCUAUCACCAGAGAUGGUGAGUUCCCUUCGGGGACUCGGUGACAGGUGCUGCAUGGCUGUCGUCAGCUCGUGUCGUGAGAUGUUGGGUUAAGUCCCGCAACGAGCGCAACCCUCGUCCUUAGUUGCCAUCAUUAAGUUGGGCACUCUAAGGAAACCGCCCGUGAUAAACCGGAGGAAGGGGGGGAUGACGUCAAGUCCUCAAGGGCCUUACACGCUGGGGUACACACGUGCUACAAUGGGGG